rnacentral:rRNA from 1 species
UACGGAGGGGGCAAGCGUUGUUCGGAUUUACUGGGCGUAAAGGGCGCGUAGGCGGUUUGGUAAGUUACUUGUGAAAUCUCCGGGCUUAACUCGGAGCGGCCAAGUAAUACUACCGAACUAGAGUGUAGAAGGGGCAACUGGAAUUCUUGGUGUAGCGGUGAAAUGCGUAGAUAUCAAGAGGAACACCUGAGGCGAAGGCGGGUUGCUGGGCUAACACUGACGCUGAGGCGCGAAAGCUAGGGGAGCAAACAGG